UACGGUAACAUCACGUUGAAACACCGGUUCACGUACGAUCAUCGAAGUUAAGCAACAUCGAGCCUGGUCAGUACCUAGAUGGGUAAGCGCUGGGAAAAUACCAGGUGCUGUAA